CCAAAAUAUUUAUGUUAUUCAACAAAUCGUAUAAAACUCAUUUUUUGAUCAAAUUGUUAAAAACAAUUUAUUUUAGUUUAUUAAAGUAUUUAAGUAUGUAGUUUAUAAAGAUGUUUUCCAGAGCAUCUAUCAAAGACAGUUGGCCUAACGAUUACUACUAAGCCGUUCCAUAGACCUAGAAGAAGGAUUGAUAAACAAUUUAAAAGAUUGUUAUUAGUUUGAAUUGUUCUACAAAAAAAGUUUUAAUAGACGGAAGUUAACGUGGCUUCAUCACCAAUUUUGGGGCGAGUUAAAAUUUGGUGACAAUGCGGACAAUUUAAAUGUGAUACAUUGAAAUACUCUGAAAUGUCUAAUGUAUUUCAACUAACCAAUGGCCAAUUUGAAAAACACAUUAAUGGAUUAUUAGAAUGAAUACAAAUUUGCUGAGUGAGAAUUCUAUUUUGAUGACACAGAGGGCACCAACAUAUUAUUUAAAUUUCAAAGAAACACAUAACUUGUUUGGACUUCAGUAUCUUUUCUGAAUGGAAAGUGAAUCUAGUUUGAUGCAUUUAAUAGGUUAAAAUUGAAAAUUCACAUUAUAAAAGAUACAUAGCCACUAUUUAUCAUAAGCAUUUAAAGAUCACAUUUUUACAAAAUUUAUCAACAAUUUGCAAAUUAUUUGUAUUUAAAAAUGUUUAAAAUGUUCAAUAGUCAAGGGUUAACAGUUGUCUAGGCUUUUCAUUAGUACUUCAUACUGUAUCUACUUAAAGCUUUUAAAGUAUA